rnacentral:rRNA from 1 species
UACGUAGGUGGCAAGCGUUGUCCGGAAUUAUUGGGCGUAAAGCGCGCGCAGGCGGUCUCUUAAGUCUGAUGUGAAAUCCCGUGGCUUAACCACGGGCGGUCAUUGGAAACUGGGGGACUUGAGUGCAGAAGAGAAGAGCGGAAUUCCACGUGUAGCGGUGAAAUGCGUAGAGAUGUGGAGGAACACCAGUGGCGAAGGCGGCUCUUUGGUCUGUAACUGACGCUGAGAAGCGAAAGCAUGGGGAGCGAACAGG